GACAAGAAAUAACAAUACAGGGCUUUCGUCUUGUAAUUGGAAUGAUGGUGAUGUACAACCUCACCAGAGUACCAAUUGGAGGGCACGUCUGGUGCCAGCAGCCGCGGUAAUUCCAGCUCCAAUAGCGUAUAUUAAACUUGUUGCAGUUAAAAAGCUCGUAGUUGUAUUUCAGCCUCGCGUUUUUUCCCUGGUUUUGGGUCUUUUCGCUGGCUUUUUUUUUACUUUGAGAAAAUUAGAGUGUUUCAAGCAGACUUUUGUCUUGAAUACUUCAGCAUGGAAUAAUAGAGUAGGACCUUGGUUCUAUUUUGUUGGUUUUGAGCCUUGGUAAUGGUUAAUAGGAACGGUUGGGGGCAUUCGUAUUUAACUGUCAGAGGUGAAAUUCUUAG
rnacentral:rRNA from 1 species